rnacentral:tRNA from 1 species
UGUGUUUAAGUGUAAAGCACAAGAAAAUUUGAGUUUCUAGGUUUCUCUUAGAUGGGAAAAACACAA